UACGUAGGCAGCGAGCGUUGUUCGGAGUUACUGGGCGUAAAGCGUGCGUAGGCGGUGGCCCAAGUCUGGUGUGAAAUCUCCCGGCUUAACCGGGAGGGUGCGCCGGAAACUGGGUUGCUGGAGUACGGGAGAGGCAAGCGGAAUUCCAGGUGUAGCGGUGAAAUGCGUAGAUAUCUGGAGGAACACCCGUGGUGCAGACGGCUUGCUGGACCGUGACUGACGCUGAGGCACGAAAGCUAGGGGAGCAAACAGG
rnacentral:rRNA from 1 species